AUCCCCUCUCCCUGGAGGGCCACUAUUCUGCUUCUUUGCAUCCACGAUCAAUUGGUGUUAUGUUGGGAUCAAUUGAUCAAGAAUUUUUUGUUAAUUUUUGAGACUAUUAGAUUGAGAAUUUUUAUUGUUAUUUUGUGCUCUAUCUAAUUUGGAAAUUUUUGGUGUUAUUUUGGGAUCAUUGAGUGUUGAAAUCAGUGAUGAUUGGUGGUAGAGUUGCUGGUUAUUGGUGGUGAUGGUGGAGCUACUGGUGAUCAGUGGCGGUAUUGACGAUGAUUGGUGUUCACUGGAGUCGUUGACCAUUUUGGUGUUAUUGAUUAGUUUGGUUGCGAGCAGGAAAGAAAUGGAGAAGGAAAAUAAAAAAAAGAAAAAGAAAAUGACAAAACACUGCAAAAUGCUAAAUUGUCCUUGACAAUAUCACUUGAAACUCCCUUAAUAGACGAGCACAUCUCAAACGCUGUUAAUUUGGAUGAUUUUCGUCCAUUUU
rnacentral:lncRNA from 1 species